GGGUAGAGACCCGAGCAGUUGAAAAUUGCUUAUUUCAGCAUGAAAGAAACCAUAAUUCGUGACUAUCAAAACCUUGAGUUCAUCCAUUUUCUCCACAAACUCAGGUAAGGUGUAAUUCUUUGUCUGAAAAUUCAGAACUAAAACCUCAACUUUGGGUGCUUGAAUGUUGCACCAA